rfam:Clostridium phytofermentans ISDg, complete genome.
GGUUAAGCUAAUAAGAGCGUAUGGUGGAUGCCUUGGCACUAAGAGCCGAUGAAAGACGUGAUAAGCUGCGAUAAGCUACGGUGAGGAGCAAAUAUCCUUUGACCCGUAGAUUUCUGAAUGGGGAAACCUAAUGGAGCAAACCUCCAUUGACGUAUGGUGAAUACAUAGCCAUACGCCGGGAACCCGGGGAACUGAAACAUCUAAGUACCCGGAGGAAGAGAAAGAAAAAUCGAUUUCCUGAGUAGCGGCGAGCGAAAGGGAAGGAGCCUAAACCGUGGAUUUAUCCACGGGGUUAUGGACCGCAAUAAGUGACUUGAAAGGUAGAAGAAUGGUUUUGGGAAAGCCAGCCAGAGAGAGUGAAAGCCUCGUAUUCGAAACCGGAAGAGAGCGAGCGGUAUCCAAAGUACAACGAGACACGAGAAACCUUGUUGGAAUUCGGGGGGACCACCCCCCAAGGCUAAAUACUACUUAGUGACCGAUAGUGCAUAGUACUGUGAAGGAAAGGUGAAAAGAACCCCGGGAGGGGAGUGAAAGAGAACCUGAAACCAUAUGUUUACAAGCUGUGGAACCACUUUAUAUGUGGAACCGCGUACUUUUUGUAGAACGGUCCGGCGAGUUACAUUUACUGGCAAGGUUAAGGACAGAAAGUCUGGAGCCGAAGGGAAACCAAGUCUGAAUAGGGCGUAAAUCCAUCUUUGAUGGAUCAGUCAGUACGUGUAUACCCGAAACCGGGUGAUCUAUCCAUGGUCAGGUUGAAGCUGCCGUAAAAGGUGGUGGAGGACCGAACACACAUCCGUUGAAAAGGGUGGUGAUGAACUGUGGAUAGGGGAGAAAUUCCAAUCGAACCCGGAGAUAGCUGGUUCUCCUCGAAAUAGCUUUAGGGCUAGCCUCGAUUUAGUCUAACGGAGGUAGAGCACUGAAUACCCUAGGGGGCGUCAAAGCUUACCGAAGGUUAUCAAACUCCGAAUGCCGUAUAGAUGAUGAUCGGGAGUCAGACUACACGAGAUAAGUUGGGUAGUCAAAAGGGAAAGAGCCCAGACCACCAGCUAAGGUCCCAAAGUGUGUGUUAAGUGGAAAAGGAUGUGGGAUUUCAGAGACAACUAGGAUGUUGGCUUAGAAGCAGCCAUACAUUCAAAGAGUGCGUAAUAGCUCACUAGUCGAGAGAUCCUGCGCCGAAAAUGUCCGGGGCUAAAACACACCACCGAAGCUGUGGAAUCAUACAAUGUAUGAUUGGUAGAGGAGCAUUCUUAACUGCGAAGAAGCUGUACCGUAAGGAGCAGUGGAGUGUUAAGAAGAGAGAAUGCCGGAAUGAGUAGCGAGAUAGAAGUGAGAAUCUUCUAGGCUGAAUAUCCAAGGUUUCCAGAGUAAAGCUGAUCUGCUCUGGGUAAGUCGGGGCCUAAGGCGAGGACGAGAGUCGUAGUCGAUGGACAACAGGUUGAUAUUCCUGUACCAUAUAGUAACAGAACUGUGGGGACACAGAAAGGUAGGAAAAGCCGGGAAUGGAAAAACCGGCGCAAGCACAAAGUCAAGCGAAAUAGGCAAAUCCGUUUCGUGAUGGUGAAGUGUGAUGCGGAGUGAACUUUAAGUAACGAAGUUUCUGAACCUAUGCUGUCGAGAAAAGCCGCUAUUGUUUGCUAUAUGCCCGUACCGUAAACCGACACAGGUGGAUGAGGAGAGAAUCCUAAGGCCGACGGGAGAAGCAUUGUUAAGGAACUCGGCAAAAUGACCCCGUAACUUCGGGAGAAGGGGUGCCUGGGCAACCAGGCCGCAGAGAAUUGGCCCAAGCAACUGUUUAGCAAAAACACAGGUCUAUGCAAAACCGAAAGGUGAGGUAUAUGGGCUGACGCCUGCCCGGUGCUGGAAGGUUAAGGGGAGAGGUUAGACGCAAGUCGAAGCUUUGAACUUAAGCCCCAGUAAACGGCGGCCGUAACUAUAACGGUCCUAAGGUAGCGAAAUUCCUUGUCGGGUAAGUUCCGACCCGCACGAAAGGCGUAAUGAUUUGGGCACUGUCUCGACAAUGCACCCGGUGAAAUUGAAAUACCAGUGAAGAUGCUGGUUACCUGCGCCAGGACGGAAAGACCCCAUGGAGCUUUACUUCAGCUUGAUACUGGGAUUCGGUGCUGCAUGUACAGGAUAGGUGGGAGACUAAGAAGUAGGAACGCCAGUUCUUACAGAGUCGCUGUUGGGAUACCACCCUUGUAGUACUGGAUUUCUAACCUGUAGCCGUGACCCGGCUAGGGGACAAUGUCAGGCGGGGAGUUUGACUGGGGCGGUCGCCUCCGAAAGGGUAUCGGAGGCGCUCAAAGGUUCUCUCAGAAUGGUUGGAAACCAUUCGUAGAGUGCAAAGGCAUAAGAGAGCUUGACUGUGACACCGACGGGUGGAGCAGGUACGAAAGUAGGACUUAGUGAUCCGGUGGUAUAAAGUGGGAUUGCCAUCGCUCAACGGAUAAAAGCUACCCUGGGGAUAACAGGCUUAUCACUCCCAAGAGUUCACAUCGACGGAGUGGUUUGGCACCUCGAUGUCGGCUCAUCGCAUCCUGGGGCUGUAGUAGGUCCCAAGGGUUGGGCUGUUCGCCCAUUAAAGCGGUACGCGAGCUGGGUUCAGAACGUCGUGAGACAGUUCGGUCCCUAUCCGGCGUAGGCGUAGGAUAUUUGAGAGGAGCUGUCCUUAGUACGAGAGGACCGGGAUGGACUGACCUCUGGUGUAUCGGUUGUUCUACCAAGAGCAUGGCCGAGUAGCCAAGUCGGGACGGGAUAAACGCUGAAGGCAUCUAAGCGUGAAGCCCCCCUCAAGAUAAGAUAUCCCAUAGCACAAGCUAGUAAGACCCCUUAAAGACGAUAAGGUUGAUAGGACAAAGGUGGAAGUGUGGUAACACAUGUAGCUGAUUGUUACUAAUAGGUCGAGGGCUUAACCUA